rnacentral:rRNA from 1 species
GACGAACGCUGGCGGCGUGCUUAACACAUGCAAGUCGAACGGAAAGGCCCUGCUUUUGUGGGGUGUUCGAGUGGCGAACGGGUGAGUAACACGUGAGUAACCUGCCCUUGACUUUGGGAUAACUUCAGGAAACUGGGGCUAAUACCGGAUAGGAGCUCCUGCUGCAUGGCGGGGGUUGGAAAGUUUCGGCGGUUGGGGAUGGACUCGCGGCUUAUCAGCUUGUUGGUGGGGUAGUGGCUUACCAAGGCUUUGACGGGUAGCCGGCCUGAGAGGGUGACCGGCCACAUUGGGACUGAGAUACGGCCCAGACUCCUACGGGAGGCAGCAGUGGGGAAUAUUGCACAAUGGGCGGAAGCCUGAUGCAGCAACGCCGCGUGCGGGAUGACGGCCUUCGGGUUGUAAACCGCUUUCGCCUGUGACGAAGCGUGAGUGACGGUAAUGGGUAAAGAAGCACCGGCUAACUACGUG